UUUGGUGGCGAUAGCGAAGAGGUCACACCCGUUCCCAUACCGAACACGGAAGUUAAGCUCUUCAGCGCCGAUGGUAGUCGGGGGUUUCCCCCUGUGAGAGUAGG
rnacentral:rRNA from 1 species